rnacentral:tRNA from 1 species
ACCUGGCUGGCUCAAUAGGUAGAGCAUGUGAUUCUUGAUCUCAGGGUCAUGAGUUUGAGUCUCACCUUGGGCA